UACGGAGGGAGCUAGCGUUGUUCGGAAUUACUGGGCGUAAAGCGCACGUAGGCGGCUUUGUAAGUUAGAGGUGAAAGCCCGGGGCUCAACCCCGGAAUUGCCUUUAAGACUGCAUCGCUUGAAUCCGGGAGAGGUGAGUGGAAUUCCGAGUGUAGAGGUGAAAUUCGUAGAUAUUCGGAAGAACACCAGUGGCGAAGGCGGCUCACUGGACCGGGUAUUGACGCUGAGGUGCGAAAGCGUGGGGAGCAAAACAGG
rnacentral:rRNA from 1 species